UGGGGAAUAUUGGACAAUGGGCGAAAGCCUGAUCCAGCCAUGCCGCGUGUGUGAAGAAGGUCUUCGGAUUGUAGAGCACUUUAAGUUGGGAGGAAGGGCAUUAACCUAAUACGUUAGUGUUUUGACGUUACCGACAGAAUAAGCACCGGCUAACUCUGUGCCAGCAGCCGCGGUAAUACAGAGGGUGCAAGCGUUAAUCGGAAUUACUGGGCGUAAAGCGCGCGUAGGUGGUUUGUUAAGUUGGAUGUGAAAUCCCCGGGCUCAACCUGGGAACUGCAUUCAAAACUGACUGACUAGAGUAUGGUAGAGGGUGGUGGAAUUUCCUGUGUAGCGGUGAAAUGCGUAGAUAUAGGAAGGAACACCAGUGGCGAAGGCGACCACCUGGACUAAUACUGACACUGAGGUGCGAAAGCGUGGGGAGCAAACA
rnacentral:rRNA from 1 species